rnacentral:lncRNA from 1 species
CGUGGGACGGAGCCCGUCGGCUGCGGGACAAGGCGGCUCUGCGCUUCGGCAGAGACCUCGAAGGCGGAGCUGCUCACACACCACAUCAGCUGCACAGACAGAGCACAGAUGGGCCUCAGAGCGGAGCACGCAUGAAGAGGAAGAAUCAACUCGACGGCGUGAUGACCAGCAUCUGAUGCUGAAGGAAACCACCUUCAUGUCUUCACAGACAGUCGUACAAUACUAAAACCCAGGAGCUUGUGCUUCAG